rnacentral:rRNA from 1 species
GUAUAUUGCCUUUUGUCACUAAGGAAAAAGGUGAAAGCGAGGCUGUCAAAGGCUUCGGCUCAAAGAGGGGUUCGCGUCCUAUCAGGUAGUUGGUGGGGUAAUGGCCUACCAAGCCAAUGACGGGUAGCUGGUCUUAGAGGAUGAUCAGCCACAGUGGGACUGAGACACGGCCCGCACCCCUACGGGGGGCAGCAGUGGGGAAUCGUGGGCAAUGGGCGCAAGCCUGACCCCGCAAUGCCGCGUGAGGGAAGAAGCCCUUCGGGGUGUAAACCUCUGUCAGAUGGGAAGAUGGGACUAGGAGCUAAUACCUCCUAGUCUUGACGGUACCAUCAGAGGAAGGGACGGCUAACUACGUGCCAGCAGCCGCGGUAAUACGUAGGUCCCGAGCGUUGCGCGAUGUUACUGGGCGUAAAGCGUCCGUAGCCGGUUUCGUAAGCGGAUUGUCAAAGCCCGAAGCUCAACUUCGGCAAGGCAUUCCGAACUGCGUUACUUGAGUCCUGUUCAGGUAGGCGGAAUUCCCGGUGUAGCGGUGAAAUGCGUAGAUAUCGGGAGGAACACCAGUGGCGAAGGCGGCCUACUGGGACGGUACUGACGGUCAUGGACGAAAGCUGGGGGAGCAAACCGGAUUAGAUACCCGGGUAGUCCCAGCCGUAAACGAUGGAUGUUAGGUGUAGUGAUAACUUCGCUGCACCCCAGCUAACGCGUUAAACAUCCCGCCUGGGGAGUACGGGCGCAAGCCUGAAACUCAAAGGAAUUGGCGGGGGCCCGCACAACCGGUGGAGCGUCUGGUUUAAUUCGAUGCUAACCGAAAAACCUUACCAGGGUUUGAAAUGGUAGGAAAGGCUGUCGAAAGAUAGCCGUGUUUCCCUUUUGGGAAAAAUCCUACCACAGGUGGUGCAUGGCCGUCGUCAGCUCGUGUUGUGAGAUGUUGGGUUAAGUCCCGCAACGAGCGCAACCCUUGUCCUUAUUUGCUUCCUCGUAUGAGGUGCUCUAUAAGGAGACUGCCGGCGACAAGCCGGUGGAAGGAGGGGACGACGUCAGGUCAGUAUGCCCUUUUUGCCCUGGGCUACACAGGCGCUAACAGUGGCAAGGUUAAUAGAGACAUCAGA